CACGUAGGGGGCGAGCGUUGUCCGGAUUUAUUGGGCGUAAAGAGCUCAGUAGGUCGGGUGUGAAAUUUCAGGGCUCAACCCUGAAACGCCACCCGAUACUGCUGUGGCUAGAGUCCGGUAGGGGAGCGUGGAAUUCCUGGUGUAGCGGUGAAAUGCGCAGAUAUCAGGAGGAACACCAGCGGCGAAGGCGGCGCUCUGGGCCGGAACUGACGCUGAGGAGCGAAAGCAUGGGUAGCGAACAGG
rnacentral:rRNA from 1 species